ensembl:lncRNA
UGUUAAUGGAGGUCUGCAUCUAGUAAGACUCAUCUCUUAGAUAGUUCUUUACUGUUAUGUAAUGCUAAUGUAAAAUUUAAUUGAAUUCUUGAAGAACACCCUAAGUUUGUUUCUGAAGCUUAUCUCAGUAAUCUAUCGUUGGAUGAAGAUCAAAUGCCUCCUGACCUGCAACCAGGACUGGAAAAGACAUAAUUUAAGGGACUGUCGUCUCCAACAUGGAUGGAAGGACUUUUUUUAUCAGGAGAAACUACACUACACCAGGAUGAGAAGACGACAACAUCAAGGUAGACAGCUUCCCCGAGAUGCGGGACCUGAUUCGUAUGAUCAUUUAUGUUUUCUUGACUUCUUAGACCUUUGCAUAUAAGUCGAAUGCUUUUCUAUCAUAGGCCUGAUCCUAUGCUAGUUUCAAAAUCAAUCCAAUUGUUGGGUUUGUGGCCAAUUACCUGUGUCUAGUUCUGGGUUAUCUUGGUAAAUUUCUCUAUUACCAGACUUUAACUGGUUGGCCCUGAAAAAAUUUACUUAAAAAAAUUAAAUCGUACUAAAGAUAAUCAGUCUAGUGACACUAAAAAAAAACUGGGCUAUGUUCCUUAUAGAUGGUGUCAAUAUAUAAUUUCCCUGGAAGAUAAAGAUUCUACAGGGCAGACUAAGUCAGAUGAUCUGAAGUUAUACUGGGCUGCAUCUAAUGGAAGUUCUUAACAUAAGGCUUACUUGUGACUUUACUAAUACUGCUGGCUAUGUUAUCUGUAUUUCACCUGUUUCACAAAAUUGCUGUUUCUUACACUGUGUGUGUGUGAGGCCUCUAAUAAAAUAAUAUAUAGUCCCAUAUGAGAUCGAUGAUGGUAACAGUGUAACUCUAGAUAUGGCAAGAAGCAACAAGAGGGAAUAUUUUCCUGGACCAAAAAGCUAGUAAGACAGGUGGUCCAGAGAAUUUUAGAUACUGUUUUAUGGCCUAGUCCAGCAACAGCACAUUGAGCGGCCUGUUUACCUGAGAGUGGACACUCUCAGCACCAUGGGGUAAAAUGGUCAUGAACUGCCCCCCUCAUAAUCAUGGUCAAGUUUAUGAGCAAAAGGGGCUCUGCCAACUGAAGACUGACACUCGCCAUCUGCAUCUACGAAGAUUAAACCAUGGCCGCUGCAACUGCUGACUUUCAACGCCCCUGAAAGAAGUUCAGGGUGAAAAUCAGGAAUGAGGCACUCUCUGCUCUGGAAAAAAACUGGCAGAACAGGCCUUCAGAUAGUUAGAUCUUUUCAGGAAAAGAUUUUAUGAGUCCCAAUUCUUGCAUGUUCUCAUAUCUAGAAAAACACUGUCAUUAACGGUAAAAUCUGCUUUGGCUAUUAAAAAUAGUUUACAAUUAAAAGUCAAAAUAGAGGAGCUACGGUUCAGAUAUCCUGGAAAAUAACUAGGUGAUGCUAUGGGUGUACUUCCAGAUUAGAGCUUGUAUUGCUCCAAGCUGGGGCAGUCCUAUGCCCCAUUUUGACAGGAAGUUAUCAUAGUCAUUGUUGCCUAGUUCCCUAAAAUUAAAACUGAGCGAGACUCUGUGGGGCUCUGGAGUACAGAUCUGCUCUGUGUUCUCCUUUUCUUAUCUGUAGGAUAUAGACUUUGUUCAGCCUCCUUGGCCUUCCCUGAAUUCCAAAGCAUAGAUUCAAACAAUUGUUAAUCAGGGAAGGGAGGGGAUACAAAAACAAAAACUAUCAAAGGUUGGUACAGCCUCCAGACAGAGUCCUGGUUCCUACUCAAAGAAAUAUGCAUAGCAAUGUCUUUGAGCCCCCACCCAGGUAAAAGAUGGUGACUUCAGACUAAACACAAGAUUCUUGGAGCACUGCUCUGUUGCCUCACCACCAACCAAUCAGAAGGGGUCACAAACCCUGUAACCCUCACCCCAAAUGCUGCCUUCUGUUUCCAGGGACCAGAGAUGACCAUCCUGUUAGGUCUCUGGUUUGGCCCUUGUCUAUUUCAUCUUUGAGAGGGGCCAACUAAAUUGCUGCAACUACAAGGGUAAAAGCUGGUUUCAGAUGUGAAAAACCCCAACUUAGAUCAGGUAGAGAGACUUCUGCUCUGCUAGGCAGGCCUACGCCCAUGCACAGCAGGAGAAAUUACAGAAGAAAGAGACCUCCGCCUCAAUUCCCAAAAAGUAUCCUGAGUAUGAAGUCUCUCAGGGGGCCUAUGUGCUGUGUUAGGGGAAAAAUGUUGUUUUUAUGUAAAUCACUCAGGGAUAAUCAGGGAGUCCCAGGCCAAGAUAAGAAAAGGGCUAAAAAAAAAAAAAAGUCUCAAAAUUAAUUUGAGUCCUGGUUCCAACAGUCCCUGUGGUUAACACCACUAAUUUCUACCCUACUCAGACCGCUCAUUAUACUCCUACUCAUUCUAACUUUUGGCCCAUGUAUUUUAAAUAAAUUGAUAACCUUUGUAAAAAAAAAAACAAAUCAGUGCCGUUCAGGUAAUGGUACUGAGGCAACAAUAUCAGGCAGUGUCUCAGAAUGGAGAGGAAGAUUCCUCUCAAGGAUAAAAAGACAGGGGGGAAUGUUAGGACCAAACUGAAGCCAGGACAGGCUCUACGGGGCGUGCUAGGCCUGAGAAAAGCUGAGGCUCUGGGAAUUCCCACAGGCAGUGUAGCUCGACCAAUCAGAAAAAAAAAUCCCCGUAGCCCCCUGCCCGCGCCAGACCUGAGCCAAUCCGGAUAGGGAUGCGAGGUUUAAAAGUCCCACGCGCGCUACGGUUUAACCAAUCAGCUAUGCUGUUACCAAAACAAAGAACCAUCUGUAUAAAAGUAUAAGUGAUUCAGAGCUCGGGGCCUUUGUCUGAUUCCACUGUGCUGGAUGAAACAUGGGUCCUGGCUCGAGCUGGUAAUAAACCCCUUUAUGCUUUUGCAUUGCUGUGGACGUCUUAUUCUCUCAGUUUUGGGGACUCGGACUCUGGGCAUAACAAGAUGGACACAUGGGAGGGAAGGAGGGAGUCAGAGGGGCUGACACUGCAGAUGAGAGGGGCGCCCAAUCAUCGCGAG